rnacentral:rRNA from 1 species
AGUGAACGCUGGCGGUAGGCCUAACACAUGCAAGUCGAACGGCAGCACAGUAAGAGCUUGCUCUUACGGGUGGCGAGUGGCGGACGGGUGAGGAAUACAUCGGAAUCUACUUUUUCGUGGGGGUUAACGUAGGGAAACUUACGCUAAUACCGCAUACGACCUACGGGUGAAAGCAGGGGAUCUUUGGACCUUGUGCGAUUGAAUGCGCCGAUGUCGGAUUAGCUAGUUGGCGGGGUAAAGGCCCACCAAGGCGACGAUCCGUAGCUGGUCGGAGUGGAUGGUCAGCCGCACUGGACCGUGAACAGGGUCCAGACUCCUACGGGAGGCAGCAGUGUGCUAUAUUGGACAAUGGGCGCGAGCCUGAUCCAGCCAGACCGCGUCUGUGGAGAAGACCUUCGGGUUGUAAUGCCCUUUUGUUGGGAGAGAAAAGCAGCAGGUUAAUACCCCGCGGUUCUGACGGUACCCAAAGAAUAAGCACCGGCUAACUUCGUG